GACGUCGAAUAUCGACGUCAUAAACACCAAAGUUGACCGUGUUUAUGACGUCGAAUAUCGACGUCAUAAACACCAAAGUUGAUCGUGUUUAUGACGUCGUAUAUCGACGUCAUAAACACCAAAGUUGUCCGUGUUUAUGACGUCGUAUAUCGACGUC
rnacentral:miRNA from 1 species